rnacentral:lncRNA from 1 species
CUUUUUCUUCUUCUCUUCAGUUUACACAAAGUGGUUUUCAUUUUUUUAUAUGCAUUGCACACUUUUCUAUUCGUAUUUGUAAGUUUUUUAGAUGUUAAUGUAAACGAACCAUAACUAUGUAGCCCUAUUCCUAUUAGAUUGACCCCAAAAUAGCAUAUCCAAAUUACGAGGAAGUCAAUCGAUGCCAUAAUUGCGGAAUUUAUGCCCUUCUAUUUUUUAAUCCAGAAUCGAAUAUGUAGAUAAAUCAUUUUUACGAUCCAAGUAAUAAAUGCCCAAGUUUCCUUGGGGUACCAACUCCAAUAUGAUCUUCAUGCUUCGUUAGCCCAUACUGCUCUAGAAAGUAACCCUAUGGUUAAAAAGAUAAAUCCUAGACCAAUAACCCAAUACAUCCAAUAAUUCAAUUGUUAAAUCUGUGAUAAUUCAUCGGAGAAAAAAAGAAGUAUUCUAUAAAAACAUCGCUUCUUUCAUUCAUGUAUUCAAUUUCACCAAAGAAAAUGGCUAGUUUAAAUUUAAUAAAUGAUUAUUUCUAAAAAAAAAAAAAAAGGCUUUCUAUUUUUUUAACUGUAAUUACUAGAAGUGCUACUGAUAAUACCGAUCCACAUAAAAGGGCUACAUAGCCUAAUAUCAUUAUUCUUGCAUUAUUAGCCACUCUGAUUGAAGAGCCAGUACUAAUAUUGCAGACUCUAGUAUUUCAAACAUAAAGUAGCAAGGCUUUGGAUAAAACUAGCACCUCGGCCUAUUAUUGGCUUAAAAAAAUUUCAACUUUUUUUUUCUUGAAAUACAUAACUAUAUGAAUGAAGAUUA